rnacentral:rRNA from 1 species
GACGAACGCUGGCGGCGUGCUUAAAACAUGCAAGUCGAACGGAAAGGCCCUGCUUUUGUGGGGUGCUCGAGUGGCGAACGGUUUAUUAACACGUGAGUAACCUGCCCUUGACUUUGGUAUAACUUCAGGAAACUGGGGCUAAUACCGGAUAGGAGCUCCUGCUGCAUGGUGGGGGUUGGAAAGUUUCGGCGGUUGGGGAUGGACUCGCGGCUUAUCAGCUUGUUGGUGGGGUAGUGUCUUACCAAGGCUUUGACGGGUAGCCGGCCUGAGAGGGUGACCGGCCACAGUGGGACUGAGAUACGGCGAAGACUCCUACGGGAGGAAGCAGUGGGGAAUAUUGCAAAAGGGGCGGAAGCCUGAAGCAGCAACGCCGCGUGAGGGAUGACGGCCUUCGGGUUGUAAACCGCUUUCGCCUGUGACGAAGCGUGAGUGACGGUAAUGGGUAAAGAAGCACCGGCUAACUACGUG